AUUGAACGCUGGCGGCAGGCUUAACACAUGCAAGUCGAGCGGGGGAAGGUAGCUUGCUACUGGACCUAGCGGCGGACGGGUGAGUAAUGCUUAGGAAUCUGCCUAUUAGUGGGGGACAACAUCUCGAAAGGGAUGCUAAUACCGCAUACGUCCUACGGGAGAAAGCAGGGGAUCUUCGGACCUUGCGCUAAUAGAUGAGCCUAAGGCGGGUUAGCUAGUGGGGGGGGUAAAGGCCUACCAAGGCGACGAGCUGUAGCGGGUCUGAGAGGAUGAUCAGGCACACUGGGACUGAGACACGGCCCAGACACCUACGGGAGGCAGCAGUGGGGAAUAUUGGAAAAUGGGGGGAACCCUGAUCCAGCCAUGCCGCGUGUGUGAAGAAGGCCUUAUGGUUGUAAAGCACUUUAAGCGAGGAGGAGGCUACUUUAGUUAAUACCUAGAGAUAGUGGACGUUACUCGCAGAAUAAGCACCGGCUAACUCUGUGCCAGCCGCCGCAGUAA
rnacentral:rRNA from 1 species